CUACGGGUUGCUCCAGUAAGGAAUAUUGCGCAAUGGAGGCAACUCUGACGCAGCCAUGCCGCGUGCAGGAAGAAGGCCUUAUGGGUCGUAAACUGCUUUUAUUUAGGAAUAAACCCCCGAACGUGUUCGGGGCUGAAGGUACUAAACGAAUAAGCACCGGUUAACUCCGUGCCAGCAGCCGCGGUAAUACGGAGGGUGCAAGCGUUAUCCGGAUUUUUUGGGUUUAAAGGGUGCGCAGGCGGGCUAUUAAGUCAGUGGUGAAAUCCCGGGGCUCAACUCCGGAACUGCCAUUGAUACUGAUAGUCUUGAGUUUGGUUGAAGUGGGCGGAAUGUAGCAUGUAGCGGUGAAAUGCAUAGAUAUGCUACAGAACACCAAUCGCGAAGGCAGCUCACUAAGCCAAAACUGACGCUCAUGCACGAAAGCGUGGGGAUCAAACAGGAUUAGAUACCCGAGUAGUC
rnacentral:rRNA from 1 species